CAGAGGGUGCGAGCGUUAAUCGGAAUUACUGGGCGUAAAGCGUGCGUAGACGGUUGUUUAAGUCGGAUGUGAAAGCCCCGGGCUCAACCUGGGAAUUGCAUUCGAGACUGAAUAGCUAGGGUGCGGUAGAGGGAAGCGGAAUUUCCGGUGUAGCGGUGAAAUGCGUAGAUAUCGGAAGGAACAUCAGUGGCGAAAGCGGCUUCCUGGACCAGCACCGACGUUCAGGCACGAAAGCGUGGGGAGCAAACAGGAUUAGAUACCCUGGUAGUCCACGCCAUAAACGAUGAGGACUAGACGUUGGAGGGGUAAGCCUUUCAGUGUCGUAGCUAACGCGCUAAGUCCUCCGCCUGGGGAGUACGGCCGCAAGGUUG
rnacentral:rRNA from 1 species